GUCGUACGAGAUUAUGGGGCUUGCUCCUUAUGAAAGUGGCGCACGGGUGCGUAACGCGUAUGCAACCUACCUUAAUCAGGGGGAUAGCCCGAAGAAAUUCGGAUUAAGACCGCAUAAAAACACAGGAUAGCAUUAUCCAAUGUUCAAAUAUUUAUAGGAUUAAGAUGGGCAUGCGUGUCAUUAGCUAGUUGGCGGGGUAACGGCCCACCAAGGCGACGAUGACUAGGGGAUCUGAGAGGAUGACCCCCCACACUGGUACUGAGACACGGACCAGACUCCUACGGGAGGCAGCAGUAAGGAAUAUUGGUCAAUGGAGGGAACUCUGAACCAGCCAUGCCGCGUGCAGGAAGACAGCCCUCUGGGUCGUAAACUGCUUUUAUUCGGGAAUAAACCUACUUACGUGUAAGUAGCUGAAUGUACCGAAGGAAUAAGGAUCGGCUAACUCCGUGCCAGCAGCCGCGGUAAUACGGAGGAUCCAAGCGUUAUCCGGAUUUAUUGGGUUUAAAGGGUGCGUAGGCGGCUUAUUAAGUCAGGGGUGAAAGACGGUGGCUCAACCAUCGCAGUGCCCUUGAUACUGAUGAGCUUGAAUACACUAGAGGUAGGCGGAAUGUGACAAGUAGCGGUGAAAUGCAUAGAUAUGUCACAGAACACCGAUUGCGAAGGCAGCUUACUAUGGUGUUAUUGACGCUGAGGCACGAAAGCGUGGGGAUCAAACAGGAUUAGAUACCCUGGUAGUCCACGCCCUAAACGAUGAAUACUCGCUGUUAGCGAUAUACAGUUAGCGGCUAAGCGAAAGCGUUAAGUAUUCCACCUGGGGAGUACGCCCGCAAGGGUGAAACUCAAAGGAAUUGACGGGGGCCCGCACAAGCGGAGGAGCAUGUGGUUUAAUUCGAUGAUACGCGAGGAACCUUACCCGGGCUUGAAAGUUAGUGAAUGAUCUAGAGAUAGAUCAGUGAGCAAUCACACGAAACUAGGUGCUGCAUGGCUGUCGUCAGCUCGUGCCGUGAGGUGUUGGGUUAAGUCCCGCAACGAGCGCAACCCCUAUGUUUAGUUGCCAGCACGUUAAGGUGGGGACUCUAAACAGACUGCCUGUGCAAACAGAGAGGAAGGAGGGGACGACGUCAAGUCAUCAUGGCCCUUACGUCCGGGGCUACACACGUGCUACAAUGGAUGGUACAGAGGGCAGCAAGCUGGCAACAGCAAGCAAAUCUCAAAAAGCCAUUCACAGUUCGGAUAGAGGUCUGCAACUCGACCUCUUGAAGUUGGAUUCGCUAGUAAUCGCGUAUCAGCAAUGACGCGGUGAAUACGUUCCCGGG
rnacentral:rRNA from 1 species